GACGAACGCUGGCGGCGUGCUUAACACAUGCAAGUCGAACGGAAAGGCCCUGCUUUUGUGGGGUGCUCGAGUGGCGAACGGGUGAGUAACACGUGAGUAAUCUGCCCUUGACUUGGGGAUAACUUCAGGAAACUGGGGCUAAUACCGGAUAGGAGCUCCUGCUGCAUGGUGGGGGUUGGAAAGGUUCGGCGGUUGGGGAUGGACUCGCGGCUUAUCAGCUUGUUGGUGGGGUAGUGGCUUACCAAGGCUUUGACGGGUAGCCGGCCUGAGAGGGUGACCGGCCACAUUGGGCCUGAGAUAGGAGCCAGACUCCUACGGGAGGCAGCAGUGGAGAAUAGUGCGCGCUGGGCGGAAGCCUGAUGCAGCAACGCCGCGUGCGGGAUGACGGCCUUCGGGUUGUAAACCGCUUUCGCCUGUGACGAAGCGUGAGUGACGGUAAUGGGUAAAGAAGCACCGGCUAACUACGUG
rnacentral:rRNA from 1 species